rnacentral:rRNA from 1 species
UGGGGAAUCAUGGUCAAUGGGCGAAAGCCUGAACCUGCGACGCAGCGUGAGUGAUGAAGGUCGUAAGAUCGUAAAACUCUUUUCGGGGAUCUUAAAGCACAACCGUCAACAACAGUUGUGUGUGACUCUCCCUGGAAGAAGCCCCAGCCAACUACGUGCCAGCAGCUGCGGUAAUACGUAGGGGGGCGAGCGUUAUUCGGAAUUCCUGGGUGUAAAGGGUAUGUAGGCGGCCCUUCAAGUCGCGUGUCAAAGUACAGUGCUCAACGCUGGGUGCGCACGCGAUACUGACGGGCGUGAGGGCUGGAGAGGUGAGCGGAAUUCCUGUUGUAGUGGUAAAAUACGUAGAGAUCGGGAGGAACACCAGCGGCGCAGGCGGCUCACGAGACAGUUUCUGACGCUAAGCUACUAAAGCGUGGGGAGCAAACA